rnacentral:SRP_RNA from 2 species
GCCAGGCAAGGUGGCUCAUGCCUGUAAUCCCAGCACCUUGGGAGGCUGAGGUGGGUGGGUCACUUGAGGUCAGGAGUUCAAGAGCAGCCUGGCCAACAUGGUGAAAACCCGUCUCUA